GACGAACGCUGGCGGCGUGCUUAACACAUGCAAGUCGAACGGGAAGGCCCCUUUGGGGGUCCUCGAGUGGCGAACGGGUGAGUAACACGUGAGUAACCUGCCCUUGACUUCGGGAUAACUUCAGGAAACUGGGGCUAAUACCGGAUAGGAAUCCUUGCUGCAUGGUGGGGGUUGGAAAGCUUCGGCGGUUUUGGAUGGACUCGCGGCUUAUCAGCUUGUUGGUGGGGUAGUGGCUUACCAAGGCUUUGACGGGUAGCCGGCCUGAGAGGGCGACCGGCCACAUUGGGACUGAGAUACGGCCCAGACUCCUACGGGAGGCAGCAGUGGGGAAUAUUGCACAAUGGGCGGAAGCCUGAUGCAGCAACGCCGCGUGCGGGAUGACGGCCUUCGGGUUGUAAACCGCUUUCAGCAGGGGCGAAGCUUGUGGUGACGGUACCUGCAGAAGAAGCACCGGCUAACUACGUG
rnacentral:rRNA from 1 species